rnacentral:rRNA from 1 species
GAUGAACGCUGGCGGCGUGCCUAACACAUGCAAGUCGAGCGAUUUACUUCGGUAAAGAGCGGCGGACGGGUGAGUAACGCGUGGGUAACCUGCCCUAUACACACGGAUAACAUACCGAAAGGUAUGCUAAUACGGGAUAACAUAAGAGAUUCGCAUGGAUUUCUUAUCAAAGCUUUUGCGGUAUAGGAUGGACCCGCGUCUGAUUAGCUAGUUGGUAAGGUAACGGCUUACCAAGGCGACGAUCAGUAGCCGACCUGAGAGGGUGAUCGGCCACAUUGGAACUGAGACACGGUCCAAACUCCUACGGGAGGCAGCAGUGGGGAAUAUUGCACAAUGGGCGAAAGCCUGAUGCAGCAACGCCGCGUGAGCGAUGAAGGCCUUCGGGUCGUAAAGCUCUGUCCUCAAGGAAGAUAAUGACGGUACUUGAGGAGGAAGCCCCGGCUAACUACGUGCCAGCAGCCGCGGUAAUACGUAGGGGGCUAGCGUUAUCCGGAAUUACUGGGCGUAAAGGGUGCGUAGGUGGUUUCUUAAGUCAGAGGUGAAAGGCUACGGCUCAACCGUAGUAAGCCUUUGAAACUGAGAAACUUGAGUGCAGGAGAGGAGAGUAGAAUUCCUAGUGUAGCGGUGAAAUGCGUAGAUAUUAGGAGGAAUACCAGUUGCGAAGGCGGCUCUCUGGACUGUAACUGACACUGAGGCACGAAAGCGUGGGGAGCAAACAGGAUUAGAUACCCUGGUAGUCCACGCCGUAAACGAUGAGUACUAGCUGUCGGAGGUUACCCCCUUCGGUGGCGCAGCUAACGCAUUAAGUACUCCGCCUGGGAAGUACGCUCGCAAGAGUG